AGCGAACGCUGGCGGCAGGCCUAACACAUGCAAGUCGAACGAAGUCUUCGGACUUAGUGGCGGACGGGUGAGUAACACGUGGGAACGUGCCUUUAGGUUCGGAAUAGCUCCUGGAAACGGGUGGUAAUGCCGAAUGUGCCCUUCGGGGGAAAGAUUUAUCGCCUUUAGAGCGGCCCGCGUCUGAUUAGCUAGUUGGUGAGGUAAUGGCUCACCAAGGCGACGAUCAGUAGCUGGUCUGAGAGGAUGACCAGCCACAUUGGGACUGGGACACGGCCCAAACUCCUACGGGAGGCAGCAGUGGGGAAUCUUGCGCAAUGGGCGAAAGCCUGACGCAGCCAUGCCGCGUGGAUGAUGAAGGUCUUAGGAUUGUAAAAUCCUUUCACCGGUGAAGAUAAUGACUGUAGCCGGAGAAGAAGCCCCGGCUAACUUCGUGCCAGCAGCCGCCGCCGUAA
rnacentral:rRNA from 1 species